rnacentral:lncRNA from 1 species
CUAGAAUCAAUUUUUCUUCGGCAUACUCCCUGUAUAUGUUAAAUUUAUUGAAGAUCAUACGCGCUAUUCAUAAAAUCAUAUAUCGUUAUAAUUCAUAAGAUGGGCGGACGAAAAAGAAAAAAUAAGCAUAAUAGAGGUCGACCAAGAAAAGUCAGAAGAGGUUCCAAAGGUGGAAGAUAUACCACUAUAUCAGAUUACUCUAUAUCUACUAAAUAUAGACGAGCAAGAGGUAUGUGGCUUCGCCCAAAAUGAUGUUCAAAUUUUAGAAAUAGCGUUAAGUCUUGCAAAGAAAUUCACCGUAGAUGAUACUGAUUUAUCCAAUGUAACGCAAAAUGAGAAUAAUCAACAGUGUGAGUCAAAUAUAUUGAAACAUACAGCAGAUUCAGCUGCAGCAUUUUAUUUAGAGCAAAACUUGAAUAAAAAUUCUUACAUAAGUUUAUCUAAAGAUUGUAAAAUGAGAAAUGCUCCCAUUUAUCCCUGCUGUUCAGGAAUUUCCAAAGCUUUGUCCGAAUGUCUACCAAAUGGUUACGAUAUUUCCGAGGUACAGAUUGUGGUAUCCAUGCAGGAGAUGUUAAAUAAAACUAGUGAGCGACUUUGCAAUGCAGUUGCUUUGGAUUGGAGUGUCAACGACUUGAUUGAUUUAACGCUUUCUGUAACUGUAGGGUUCGAUAGUUCUUCAGGUCAUAAAAAUGUAAGUAUGCUACAAAUGAAAGCGAAGCUUCCGAGCAGUCCCUCUUCGUUACAAGCUUCAUUAUCAUUAAAAUAAGCUCUAAUAAAUCUGAUGGAAAAUCAUGGAUCAAUCCAAUUCCUCAAAGUGUAAGACUUUAUCGACCAUUAAGGAUUGCAUUCGAAAAAGAAACAGAUGAUACGACCAUACGUGAAUACAAUCGAUUAGAAAAUGAAAUAAAGAAUCUCAGUUCUUAUAAAUUUAGUCUGUCCAAUGGAAAAAACAUUUGCGUUUCUUAUGAAGUUACACAAACUCUUUUUGAUGGCAAAUAUUUAAAUGUAAUAGUGAGAAAUAGAGCAACCAGUAGAUGUCCAAUUUGUAAGAUAACGUCUCAUCAGUUUGGAGAAUUUGGCAAUAAUUUCACUCCUGUUGCUGAAUCACUGAAGUAUGGUUUGGGAUUAUUGCACGCAGAAAUUAAUACAUUUGAGCAUCUCCUAAACAUUUCUUAUAGAAUGCCAUUCAAAACGUGCGAUAUUCGAUAACCGCUAAAAGAACGAUAUCAAAUUCGAAUAAGAGAUGUGCAGAAAAAAGUUUUCAUUAAUUUCGGAGUUAGAGAAGACCAAGUAUUACAAGGCCAUGGAACAACAAAUACUGGAAAUAUAGCUCGUAGUUGUUUUGAAGAUCCGAAAAAAUGUGCAAGGUCAUUGGAAAUUAAUGAAGAUUUGGUUCAAAAUAUUGUAACUAUAUUAACUUUAUUUAAAUGCAAAAAGGAGCUUAAAUUAGACGAGUUAGAAAAGUUCUGUAUAAAUACAUAUCAACUGUACUAAAAUACGUAUCCAUGGUGUCGAAUGAAUCCGACGCUUCAUAAAAUUUUAAUGCAUGGAUGUCAAAUUGCCAGGCAAUUUCCUAUGCCUUUAGCAUACUAUGCCAAAGAUGCUAAUGAGUCUUAGCAUAAGUUUUAUCGCAGAAAUAUGACAGAACACUCCAGACAGACAAGUAGAUUAGCACGAAUUACGGAUGUAUUUAACAGAGUAGUGCAUAUGAGUGACCCAAAUCUAUCUUUGAUGUUCAUAGGCAAUCAAAUAAAAUUAGCUAAGAAGCACAUAUUCUUUCAAAAUGCACAGGCAUUGAGCUAUAUAAAAGAAACGCAUAUUAUGAACGAAGAAGAGUGGGAAGAAGAAAACCAGAACACAAGUGAUGAUGAAAGUAAUAUGGCUUAUGAUAAUUCUGAUGAAGAAUCUAUAAUGUAAUUAUUAUGAAAUAAUAAAAGGUUAUCAUAGUAAUUGGA